rnacentral:tRNA from 3 species
GGCGGUGUAGCUCAGAUGGUCAGAGCGUUCGGUUCAUACCCGAAAGGUCGGGGGUUCGACUCCCUCCGCCGCUACCU